UGAAAAAUUCACUCGUGCUUCACUCCUCAUCACUUUGAAUUUUGAAAUUCUCACAUUGUGAUUAUAAAAUUUUCAAAUUUUAAGUCAUUUUAGAAAUUCUUACAUUCUUUUAAAAUGUCCACUGUAAGUUUAGAAGCGUUUGCAAAAAUAGCUAAAGAGAAUGGUGGCCUUCAAUGGAAGUUGGAACAACGAAAGAAGUGUGAACGUAUAUUGUUGGCAAACAAUACGUUGGAAUGUUUUCUGCUAAGGCAUUUACAGACAUACCUUCCAAAGAAGAGGAAGGAUUACACUGCUAAGCAAGUUCAGAAAGCAUUUCGAAGAAUCUUUAACCAGAAAAGAAAAUCCCAUAUAAAAAUAUUAAGGUCUCAAAUUGUAGACGCGUUAAAAGCUGCCCAAAUUGAAGAAAAAGUUUUCAUCGUUAGAAUGAGUGAAAUAUAUGAAUUCUGUAUUUCUUAUGUGCGCCUUUACAAAGCCGAAAUGUCAUUCAAAGGAGAGUCGUAUCUUGUCUUCUCCUUGAAUAUUACAUUCAGCGAAACUGAUGAAAAAUGUUUGGAAAUACUAGAUGCUUGUGGCAGUUGUGGCGCAUAAUAAUAUCUUAAAACCGCAUAGAUUUAUAAAUUAUUGAUGUUUAUGCAGUUUAAAUUUUAGUGUAACUAUUGUUUUGUUAUUAAUGUUAUCCCUCGCGGGAAAAAAAUAGUACUUUCUGAGUAGUAGUUUUUUAACGGAGUAAAAACUACUACUUUUUAACACCUUCAUGGAGAAAUAUUAUUAACUAGUUUUUAGACAAAAGUAGUAGUUUUUACGUAAAACUACUAAUAUUUCUCCAUGAAGGUGUUAAAAAGUACUGUCAAAACCCCUAAUUUCGGACACUUUUUCACGUUUUUCGAAAAGGGCUUUAAAACGAGCGAUUCAACUUGGUGUUUAUCUUCACAUUCUCAUAGAAUGUCAUCGUGUGAAUCGUUUUUGAGCAUCAAUUUAUAAAUUUUACGUGAUUUUGUUUAUUUAAUUUGAAUCCGAAAAGUGUCCGAAAUUAGGUCCAAGGUACCCUAAUUUCGGACACUUUUUCUUUAACGUGGGAACUCGAAAAUUUUAGUUGAAAAAGAAAUUAUUUACCUCUGAAAAACAACUCCAAUCAAAAACAGCUCGAAUCAUGAUGUGAAAUGUAGAGAAAAACAAUUUUUCAAGGAAAUGUUCAGCACUCUCAUUAUCCACUUUCUCAUUAGAAAAAUAAGUUGGUAACAUUGAACAAUUUCUUAUCAAACUCCUUGUUGAUGAUUUUACGACUCCGACUUUUACUUUUCAGAAUGGUUUUUAGGAAAAUGAGUGAAAUAAUAGUACAAUAUCUUCAUCAAAACUGAAAACACUUGAAAAAAUACCGUCGAACUCGAAAAAUACACAUUUGCAAGUGCAUCAGUGUUACCCUUCCAAUCUCGGUAAAGCGUUAACCAAAGUGUCCGAAAUAAUGAUCCGUUUCGCAACUUUUUCAGUUUUUAGGAUUUAAAUAAUAGAAACAAAACGUGAAAUUUGAUAAAUGAAUUUUAUUUUUAAUUACCAGUGACUUCUUGAUAUUUUAGAGCGAUUUUCGUGGUUAUGAAAGCAUUUGGAUAGACUCUGUGAAUAACUUUUUCCCCACACUUUACAUGAAGCACUUUGUAAAGUCCAUUUUAAUGGCUAAAUAAAUAGUGUAAAAUGAAAAUUCUUACAUCAAGGAGAUUGUCCGUGAUCUAAACUAAUAGAAGAAGUGUUCACUUUUACUUGUACCCUUGGUUCUUAUCAAUAAAAGAGCAAAAACACUGAGUGUCCGAAAUUACGUACCCUGUCCGAAAUUAGGGGGUUUGACAGUAGUAGUUUUUACUCCGUUAAAAAACUAGUACUUACCUACUCAGAAAGUACUAUUUUUUUUCCGUAAGGGAUUUAAUUACAGUUAAUUCAGAAUAAAAAGUGAAUGUUGAUGAAACGAUUAUUGUGAAAAUUCAGCUUAAACAGAAUUGUGAAUGAUGAAUGAUGAUUCGAGUAGUCAAAGAGUGGAGUUUAUUACAAUCAUAGACAUUAGACUAUACAAAGCCGCAAAGGUACUACUUUUUAAUGAUUUCAACAUUUGAGUUUGAUGGAAAUAAAAUUUGCUUCAUAAUGAAAUACGAAUGAUUAUAAAUUGAUCGAA